CAAAAUGGAUUACGUGUGGGAGCACAGAAAGUAUUUUUCCCCAAGAGUUGAUGGUGUGAGUCUACAGCACCCCUUUACUACGUGAAAAUGCUCGUGAAGUGUUUUGCUGUCACUCUAAAUGCUCUUUUUUUCCGACACCUGCAGAGGUAAAAUGGAGAUCACAUUCGAACAGCUAUGACACACUGCACUUUUUCACUAUACAAGCGUGUAAUUCUGCUUAAUUUGUUAAAUGCACCCUCCAACAACAACGGAGGGCAGAGGAGCGAAGCUCACAACAACGAGCGGAGCGUCGGGUGGCUAAAGCACAGCAAGUUGGCACAGUAGGGGGCACAGGUGGUCCAUCAGCCAGUUGUCUCAGUCAGUCAACCCGUGGCACCUGGGUCUGCCCCGUGACCUCCUGUCAGCGGGCUUUCGACACUUCACGUGGCCUCAAGCCUUUCAGUACACCAGGAAACAGAGCAAACAUGACAGAGUGACCUUUUGUCAAGCACCUCUCCUCUUCAUUGUGGACCUCGGCAUCAAAUGGCAUAGUUCAGAUCCGAGAGGGCAUGUGGACUUCCCUCAAGUGGGUUUCGUUGAAUUUGUAAAAUAGAUUUUGUCCACAUCUGAAGGUAUGAAAACGGACACACUCUGGGUCGAAUUAAGAGACAUAUUAAAACAGCAGGAAUGGGAUCAUGGACUCUUACCAAAGAGGAUCUAACUUCAUGUUGCUCACUGGAUUUCUAAAUUGAAUUUGGUGAUCCACGCGACCUAGAGUGGUAGAGAGAAACUGCCCGCCUUCUCAAGACCACCAGCCUUUACUCUAUGGGGAUAAAUGCAUGGAGUCUUUGG